AGAGUUUGAUCAUGGCUCAGAUUGAACGCUGGCGGCAGGCCUAACACAUGCAAGUCGAACGGUAACAGGAAGCAGCUUGCUGCUUUGCUGACGAGUGGCGGACGGGUGAGUAAUGUCUGGGAAACUGCCUGAUGGAGGGGGAUAACUACUGGAAACGGUGGCUAAUACCGCAUAACGUCGCAAGACCAAAGAGGGGGACCUUCGGGCCUCUUGCCAUCAGAUGUGCCCAGAUGGGAUUAGCUUGUUGGUGAGGUAACGGCUCACCAAGGCGACGAUCCCUAGCUGGUCUGAGAGGAUGACCAGCCACACUGGAACUGAGACACGGUCCAGACUCCUACGGGAGGCAGCAGUGGGGAAUAUUGCACAAUGGGCGCAAGCCUGAUGCAGCCAUGCCGCGUGUAUGAAGAAGGCCUUCGGGUUGUAAAGUACUUUCAGCGGGGAGGAAGGUGUUGUGGUUAAUAACCGCAGCAAUUGACGUUACCCGCAGAAGAAGCACCGGCUAACUCCGUGCCAGCAGCCGCGGUAAUACGGAGGGUGCAAGCGUUAAUCGGAAUUACUGGGCGUAAAGCGCACGCAGGCGGUCUGUCAAGUCGGAUGUGAAAUCCCCGGGCUCAACCUGGGAACUGCAUUCGAAACUGGCAGGCUUGAGUCUUGUAGAGGGGGGUAGAAUUCCAGGUGUAGCGGUGAAAUGCGUAGAGAUCUGGAGGAAUACCGGUGGCGAAGGCGGCCCCCUGGACAAAGACUGACGCUCAGGUGCGAAAGCGUGGGGAGCAAACAGGAUUAGAUACCCUGGUAGUCCACGCCGUAAACGAUGUCUACUUGGAGGUUGUGCCCUUGAGGCGUGGCUUCCGGAGCUAACGCGUUAAGUAGACCGCCUGGGGAGUACGGCCGCAAGGUUAAAACUCAAAUGAAUUGACGGGGGCCCGCACAAGCGGUGGAGCAUGUGGUUUAAUUCGAUGCAACGCGAAGAACCUUACCUGGUCUUGACAUCCACGGAAGAAUUCAGAGAUGGAUUUGUGCCUUCGGGAACCGUGAGACAGGUGCUGCAUGGCUGUCGUCAGCUCGUGUUGUGAAAUGUUGGGUUAAGUCCCGCAACGAGCGCAACCCUUAUCCUUUGUUGCCAGCGGUCCGGCCGGGAACUCAAAGGAGACUGCCAGUGAUAAACUGGAGGAAGGUGGGGGAUGACGUCAAGUCAUCAUGGCCCUUACGACCAGGGCUACACACGUGCUACAAUGGCGCAUACAAAGAGAAGCGACCUCGCGAGAGCAAGCGGACCUCAUAAAGUGCGUCGUAGUCCGGAUUGGAGUCUGCAACUCGACUCCAUGAAGUCGGAAUCGCUAGUAAUCGUGGAUCAGAAUGCCACGGUGAAUACGUUCCCGGGCCUUGUACACACCGCCCGUCACACCAUGGGAGUGGGUUGCAAAAGAAGUAGGUAGCUUAACCUUCGGGAGGGCGCUUACCACUUUGUGAUUCAUGACUGGGGUGAAGUCGUAACAAGGUAACCGUAGGGGAACCUGCGGUUGGAUCACCU
rnacentral:rRNA from 1 species